GACGAAUGCUGGCGGCGUGCUUAACACAUGCAAGUCGAACGGAAAGGCCCCUUUGGUGGUACUCGAGUGGCGAACGGGUGCGUAACACGUGAGUAACCUGCCCUUGACUUCGGGAUAACUUCAGGAAACUGGGGCUAAUACCGGAUAGGAAUCCUUGCUGCAUGGUGGGGGUUGGAAAGCUUCGGCGGUUUUUGAUGGACUGGCAGCUUAUCAGCUUGUUGGUGGGGUGGUGGCUUACCAAGGCUUUGACGGGUAGCCGGCCUGCGUGGGCGACCGGCCACAUUGGGACUGAGGGGCGGCCCAGACUCCUACGGGAGGCAGCAGUGGGGAAGAUUGCACAAUGGGCGGAAGGCUGAUGCAGCAACGCCGCGUGCGGGAUGACGGCCUUCGGGGUGUAAACCGCAUUCAGCAGGGGCGGAGCUUGUGGUGACGGUACCUGCAGAAGAAGCACCGGCUAACUACGUG
rnacentral:rRNA from 1 species